rnacentral:rRNA from 1 species
GACGGAGGAUGCAAGUGUUAUCCGGAAUCACUGGGCGUAAAGCGUCUGUAGGUGGUCCAAUAAGUCAACUGUUAAAUCUUGAGGCUCAACCUCAAAAUCGCAGUCGAAACUAUUAGACUAGAGUAUAGUAGGGGUAAAGGGAAUUUCCAGUGGAGCGGUGAAAUGCGUAGAGAUUGGAAAGAACACCGAUGGCGAAGGCACUUUACUGGGCUAUUACUAACACUCAGAGACGAAAGCUAGGGUAGCAAAUGGG